AAGGCAUCAAUGAUGAAUAAUCCAUUUGUUAUCCUUGCACUUUGAUUGUUAAAUGAAGAUAAUCAUGGGGAAAUAUUAGCUGAGAUGCUU
rnacentral:snoRNA from 1 species